ACCGUUAGAUCUUUAUCAAAUGGCUUAGAAUCACACCGUUGUUCCUUUUCCUUUUACAAAAGCAUGCCGUCAUCUUAUUUUCCAUGUUGGUAAAUCAACCCACUCGUAGGCCCAUAACAAAAAACCUAUACACAAUGAUGGAGACAUCCCUUCAAUGAACAUCAACAAUAUCAUCCACCAACAACAGCAAGAGAAUGGAGGGAAGCUAUAGUUCUAUUGUUUAAGUGUUUUUCUUUUGGGUAAGUAAGUAAGUAAGUGAGUGCACGCAACAAAAACAAAAACGGUUGUAACUAACUUAAUGCAAAUGCAAAUUUAGAGAGGUUGGAUUUUGUAACGGCUUUUGCGUUGCAUGCGGUAAUUGGUUGCAAAUUGCAAUGACGAAGUUGUUCAACGUUUCCACUGCAGCUACUAAUAUGGGUUUCAAUAUUUCUCAGGAAUUCUUCUUCUUCUUCUUCAGCCACAAAUUCCAAGGUGUAUGUUUCUAUUUCUCUUCCCUUUUUCUUAUUCUUCUUAAUUUCACAACAACAACACACCGAUAUCCAAUGAACUUUGUUUGAAUCUUUUUGGAAUCCGAUGAUCUUUUUUUGUUUGUGAGCUAGGUUGUUGUUUUGAUUUGUUAAUCUCAAAAUUCUUUCAUUCUUUUCUGCAUAUAAUAACUUCAUAUUCUUUUGUUGUUAUAUAAUUAUUACUAUUACUGCCACUCACAAUUACAUUCACAUUCACAAUUCACAGUAACAGAUUCAAUUCAUUCAUAUAUAGGAACACUUUUGUUUGAAUUUGUAAAGAAAGAAAAAACAAUACAGUUUGAUUGGAUUUGUUUUUGGAAUUUAUACAUUCAUCGGAUUCCUUUUUUUUAAUCGGACAUUAUUGAAAUUGAAACAAUGUUUUCACACACACACAUAGAUUGUUGUCAUCACACACUGCAUUUUCUCUCCUUUUUUUGUAACAUACACAUGCAAAUUGAGUUUUAGGGGAAACAAAAACAAAACCAAAAUUUCUUCCACAUUUGAUCAAGUUAUUACUUAUUGCUAAAUUGGGUGAUCUUGCAUCUCCCCGGGGAACCUCUAUAAGCCGCAUUUGACUUGACAAUGUGAUAUUGUUAUUUGGUGGUGAAAGAGCUUUUGACUUGACAAUGUGAUAUUUGAAAUUGACUCAAAAAUUGUUAUGGUUAGUUUCUACUCACUAAACUCAAAUGUUAAUAAAUUUGGUGUUGCUAUACUCGAUUGAAUGACUUUUAUUUUCUCAUAAAUUAAAACUCUAGAUCAAUUGAGUUUGUUAAAAAGGAGACAAUCAUUUGUUGCGCUCACAUUUUAAUAGGAUAGUCGCAUCCUAGAUUAACCUUGGUGACAUGAACACUAUCCAAUAGAAGUGUAUAACAUUAUCAAAAAGUGCAUAACAACCAAGCUAGAAGUGACUAUAAUAUUUUGAAAUGAGUUGAGUUAAAUAGUUUGUUUAUAGAGUCGGGUCCAACAACUAAACCCAAUAGAAAACAAAAAAUUAUAAAGAAAAUAGAAAUAAGAAAAUGUACCCCUACAAAACCUUAUUGGUAUUUUUUUAUGACCUGUUUUAGUUUUUAUUUUACUGAACUUUUAACUUUGGUCUUGUAUUGUUUCUCAAAAUAUAAUAUAUAUAUAUGUGGUCUUUUUUUACUUGUUAGACUUUUUUUACAUGUAAAGCUGAUGACAAUUGUAUCAAAAAUUAUGAAGUAGAUGAAGAUGACAAUUUAGAAAUUGUUAACCCUUCAAAGAAUAUAGUGGAAGUGAAGACAUAAGUUGUGAAUUUUUUUUUAUGCUCUGAGUCUAAAUCAAAGGCCUUCGAAGAUUGUUAUAUUAGCCGGUGGAAAACUAUGGAGUGUUACCUCGAGGGAAUACUUCAAUUAGGGAUAGCAAAUGAAGUACUUGGAGCUUUAUAAAAUGCUCAAUUCUAUUUCAAAAAAGGAAAAGUUAUUGACUUUCUCUUUAAUGUUAGGAAAAUUGUUUCUUAAAACAAGUCUCUCAGCAGAAUCCUAAACCCUAAACCCUAAUCAGAAGUUCAAUAUGUGAAGAAGGUUUUAAAUGAAAAAGCCCAAGUGUAGAGUAAUGUGCAAGGUUACCCUUCACACAUAUUUUGGAGAUUUACUUCAAAUGCAACUUUCAGAAAA